rnacentral:ncRNA from 2 species
AGUUAAUUUAAAGCGCCAGGACUUGAGUGAAAGAAUAGACCUUAGGAUAAGUUUAGUUUUUACCAACCAAAUCUGCUUUUGUUGUAGAUUAUGAGGAGGGAAUUUAACAAAAACUUUAUGAGGUUAUAGGAAAUUUCCUUUUAAAGGAAACUCAGCCUUUACGGCUGAGUAAGUUCCACCGACCAAAUCGUAGAUUUGGGGUGUCACUUAAGUUGACGAGGAUGGGGAGUAUCGAAUCUUCGGCGGGUGCCCCACGGUAACGCACUACCGUUAACGGUUAAUAAAAUCAGAAAGUGAUUUCUGACACAAUAUUAAUCUGGUGUUAAAA